GAGAUUAAAUUUGAGAACUUCAUUUUGAAAAUAAAGAAUAAUCAAAACAAUUUUAUAUAUUGAGUGGCUUUGCAAAACUAAUUUUCUACUAGAUGUAAUGAAAUUAUAGAUGGCAUUACUGUUCUCAGUCAUCCCUUUAGUUUGUUUUAAAAUCAGUCAUAUUUCUAAGGUUUUAUUUAUAUAUUAUCCCCAUAAAAAGGCAGAUCAACUAUGUAAUCUUCAUUAUUAAUAUGAUGACCUAACACAUUAUGCAGGUGCUCAGUUGCUGAGGUUAGCAGGUCAGAACUGAUCAAUGAAAAAAUUCAUAGUGGACUCCACCUGCCAUUUUAAAGCAGUGGAACAAAAGAGAAAUGAAAACAACACAGUAUUAAUCUAUCAUCUACCUUUUAACAAAUAGCUGAUUGAAACACAUACACUGUAUCUAUCAUCUAUCUACCCAUUUAUAUUUACAUAUAUAUUAUAUAUCUUACAUAUUAGAUACAUACUAUACACAUUAAGAUGAGGAACACAUAAUCAUCUAGUAUAAAAAAUAGCUAAAUCAUUGUGAUAAGUUCCAAGAAGGACAAGAACAGGGUGCUAUGUUUGUGUAUAAUAUGAGGAUCAUGGUUUAAAUAAGUUGGUAACUAAGUACUGGAAUUAUUGAUGAUGUUAUUUAUGUUUGAAUUAUAAGGUUAUGGAAUCCCAGUACCGGAAGUGAUCUUUAAAAUCAUCUAGUCCAACAACUCAUUCACUGCUUGAAUUUUUCUUAUUAUUCGUUUGUUCAAUGCUGGUAUUUGACUAUUUUUUCACUUAAAAACACAGCAUUUUUGUGUAUUUCAACAUAAUACAAACAUUUAUUAAGUUUAGUGCUGGGUAAGGACCACAUAAUAUGGAUUAGUCAAGACAAUGCUACCCAACUCUUUAUACAGGGGAGAAAUGUAAAACCAAAUAAUUAUAACAUAGUGAUUAUUUGUAGAAAUAAAAUGGCUAAAGUGGCCUCACUUAUCCAAAAUGAACAGGCUUGGUGCUGAGUUGAGUGGUCAAAUUGUGUGAUCUAAUCCAUCAGUUCAAAACUCCAUCAAACCCUAAGAGACUAUUCCUAGCCAAUAAGCCAAUUCACUGCACAGACAUGAAUUUCAGCCACUUUCUAGCUUGAGCUCAUGGCUAAAUAAUGCAGCAUUUACUCGUGCUUCUCCAGCUUCUUGGAGAACUCACUCAUGCUGCAGGAGAAGAUUAAAAUUUUAUCAGUCAUUUCAGUCUCUAUCCCAAAAGCUGCGUUUCCUUGGCCAUGGCACCACAGCACAUGGCAUUAGGUUCAUAGACAUUGAAGGUUAAGUAGAAAUUACUCUGAGAAGCAACUUCUACUGACCACGAUCCCACCUGUAGAAGCAGGUCCUAACUGGGUAAAUGAUGAAAGGACUAUCUUUCCUUGGCUUUUAAUUCUAUUGGCUUCAGUAAGUUACUUGAAACUGCACAAGAUGGAGAUGAAUUCCUUAAUGUUCUUAUUUCAGCACAUAACAUACACAGUGCUAGGCUCUGGCGUCAGAAAAUAGAUAUCCUAUGGCUCCUGUCCUUAAGUUAUGCUAAAGUCCUCCUAAGUCUAAAUACUUUAAAAAGGUUUGAUGAGUGAAAUAUAUCCAUCCAUCCAUCCAUGCAUCCAUCCAUCCAUCCAUCCAUCCACCAUUUGCUAAGUACUGACUAAUGUCAGGCAUUUUCCUAAACUCUGGGGAUAAGUGGGAAAUAAGACAAAGUCCCUGCUGCCACCCUACCCUUACCCUGUAUAUAUUAUUGGAAAAGUAUACUGAAUUUUCAAAAGGACAUUCUACUUAUGUGCUUUUUUCAUUUGUUUCAGCAACUGGAGAGAGCUGUGUCACUCAGAAUCUGAGUGGUGGCAGAGACUAUACCUGCCUUGUUCGCUGCUGUAUCUGCAACAGAUAAGAAAAUACUAUCCACAUCUAAGAUUAUUUUUCACUUCGACAUGCUUCACCUGAGUCAAGAAAGUGUUUCUCUAAUGCAUUUUAGACGUCUCCUAUCAGUCAUUUGCUCAACUACCAGUCACUUACCCAGCCUGCAAUUAUGCACAAAACAACCUGCUAUGGUGAUUAACAAGACAUUAUCGUUGACUUUCUACUACGAAAUAUGAGAAUCUAAAUCCUUCCUCCUCCAUCACUACUCCAGUUUAUAUGAUUAUCUUUUUGUCACCAGAGACAAUUUGAAAUUUCAUGGGCUGGUCGAACGUCUUGGCUCACGCUUGCAAUCCCAGCACUUUGGGAGGCCAAGGCAGGCAGAUCACAAGGUUAAGAGAUCAAGGCCCUUCUAGCCAACAUGGUGAAACCUGUCUCUACUAAAAUACAAAAAUUGGCUGGGCAUGGUGGUGCACACCUGUAGUCCUAGCUAUCUGGGAGGCUGAGUGGAAGAAUUGCUUGAACCUGGGAGGCGGAGGUUGCAGUGAGCUGAGAUUGUGCCAUUGCACUCCAGCCUGGCAACAGAGUGAGACUGUCUCAAAAUAAAAAUAAAAUAAAAUAAAAUUUCACGAACUGUGCCUUGU